rnacentral:lncRNA from 1 species
GUGAAACAGUGACCUCUGGUGGCCUGAGAGUUGCAACGUUUAGGAGGGUGUGAUUCGUGUGUCUGGAAUCCCUCUUGAUUACUCUCAGAGUGAACUCAUCAAAAUGGCAUCUCCGUUUGGUCACUAUGUUGAGGUUUUAAUGGCGACUGAGGUUUACACAACAACCUGUCUAGAAUGGAAGGCUUUACUGAUGUUUCCAACUGAAUUCUCAGCCGAGGAGAUGGUGAAGGUUUACUCUGCUAUCCCAGUUCACAUGAGACAGCAAAGUUUGGAGCUGGUGUCCCAAACUGUUGACUUUAGUUCACCUGUGUCAGUGUUUCAUGCUUUUGUGGGGCCAUCAUUGUCAAAUGGGCUGCUGACAGCUUUGGACCAUUUGCUGGUUGUAUGUAAUGUUCCCAAUCAGCCCAGUGCUGCUACAGGAGUGCUACGGCUGCUAAAGCCUUUUGGACAAAUUUUCAGAGCUCUGGUACUUCAUGGAAACAAGGUGGAUGUUGAUCAGUGCCUUGGGAACAAUAGCAGCAUCCAGAUGGUUUUAGAGAUGGAAUCCGCUUCUGUUGCUUUAUCUGUAUAUGAGUGGUCUCAAAAAAUUCCUUGUCUUUAUCACAACCAUCAUCUGUCCUUCCUCAGAGGAUGUAAUAUACAGAAAAAUACAUCUGAGGUCCAUUCAGCCUAAUAUCCUCACAGUUUUUUAGUCCCCUUAAGUAUUGUAUAUUUUCAUUAUCUUGUAAUAAAAUAAAAUGAAACAAGUUCAUAAGAAGUAUUAUUGUUUGUCUUUCUCCUUUUAUAAAAUCAUAUAUUUAUUGAGCAGCAG